AUCUGCAGUCGAGGGGCAGCGCGGUAGCAAUACUGGCGGCGACCGGCAAACGGGUGCGGAACACGUACGCAACCUUCCUCUAAGCGGGAGAUAGCCCGGAGAAAUCCGGAUUAAUACCCCAUAGGAUUGUGGAUUGGCAUCAAUCAGCAAUUAAAGAUUUAUCACUUAGAGAUGGGCGUGCGUCUGAUUAGGUAGUUGGUGAGGUAACGGCUCACCAAGCCGACGAUCAGUAACUGGCGUGAGAGCGCGACCAGUCACACGGGCACUGAGACACGGGCCCGACUCCUACGGGAGGCAGCAGUAAGGAAUAUUGGUCAAUGGACGCAAGUCUGAACCAGCCAUGCCGCGUGGAGGAUGAAGGUCCUCUGGAUUGUAAACUUCUUUUAUCUGGGAAGAAAUGCUUUUUUUCUAAAGAGCUUGACGGUACCAGAUGAAUAAGCACCGGCUAACUCCGUGCCAGCAGCCGCGGUAAUACGGAGGGUGCAAGCGUUAUCCGGAUUCACUGGGUUUAAAGGGUGCGUAGGCGGAUUAGAAAGUCCGUUGUGAAAUCUCUGAGCUUAACUCGGAAAUUGCGGUGGAUACUAUUAGUCUUGAAUACUGUGGAGGUUAGCGGAAUAUGUCAUGUAGCGGUGAAAUGCAUAGAUAUGACAUAGAACACCAAUUGCGAAGGCAGCUGGCUACACAGAUAUUGACGCUGAGGCACGAAAGCGUGGGGAUCAAACAGGAUUAGAUACCCUGGUAGUCCACGCCCUAAACGAUGAUUACUCGACAUUUGCGAUACACAGCAAGUGUCUGAGCGAAAGCAUUAAGUAAUCCACCUGGGAAGUACGACCGCAGGUUGAAACUCAAAGGAA
rnacentral:rRNA from 1 species